AUUGAACGCUGGCGGCAGGCCUAACACAUGCAAGUCGAACGAUUGGCGGAUGGGUGAGUAAUGUCUGGGAACCUGCCCGAUGGAGGGGGAUAACUACUGGAAACGGUAGCUAAUACCGCAUACCAUCGGAUGUGCCCAGAUGGGAUUAGCUAGUAGUUGGGGUAACGGCUCACCUCGGCGACGAUCCCUAGCUGUUCUGAGAGGAUGACAGGCAACACUGGAACUGAGAAACGGCCCAGACUCCUACGGUGGGCAGCAGGGGGGAAUAUUGCACAAUGGGCGCAAGCCUGAUGCAGCCAUGCCGCGUGUAUGAAGAAGGCCUUCGGGUUGUAAAGUACUUUCAGCGAGGAGGCGUUACUCGCAGAAGAAGCACCGGCUAACUCCGUGCCAGCAGCCGCGGUAAUAC
rnacentral:rRNA from 1 species